UACGUAGGGUGCGAGCGUUAAUCGGAAUUACUGGGCGGUAAAGCGUGCGCAGGCGGUGAUGUAAGACAGGUGUGAAAUCCCCGGGCUUAACCCUGGGAACUGCAUUUGUGACUGCAUCGCUGGAGUGCGGCAGAGGGGGGAUGGAAUUCCGCGUGUAGCAGUGAAAUGCGUAGAUAUGCGGAGGAACACCGAUGGCGAAGG
rnacentral:rRNA from 1 species